UCCUGGUACAGUUUCUGCAAAAAGUUGGCCCAUGAGAUUGGAGUUGGGAUGUGAGGCACUGGCUCAGUGAAAUAAAGAGAUGGUGUUCCUUGGAAUGGAGAUGGUCUAGAAAAUGAGAUACGAAUAUGCACUUCAUGAUUAUAAAAACAACUGUCAUCUGGAGCAGAGUGACAUUUCCAUGGGGCCGAACUACAGGAUGAACUUGAAGCUGGCUAAAGAAAGUACGGGGCUGAACAGAAAGGAUGAUGGAGUACACAGCUUGAGUGAGGCCUUCAUUGAAAUGUAUGUGUUCAGAGUUACAUCAAGCACUAUUUAGUUCUGCCUAAAGCCUUCCAUAGGCAACUGUGAGGAGAAGAGUGGGUCCGAAGAGAGAGAAGAGAGCACUCAAUAGUUCUUCCCUAGGUUUUCUCAAAUAUCAGGCAAGUCUCACAGAACACGUGACACUGUAUUAUCAAUGCUGACUUCACAUUAAGAAUACUUUAUGUGUGAACAUUUAAUGGACAGAGACAAAAAUGUCAUAUCUUCACAUCCAAUAGAAGGUGGCAAUUCAGUUCUGGCAAGGUCAUUUAUUAUUCCCUUUUGGGUAAUAUAUUAAGGAUAUUUGUUCCUUGAAAAAUUGAUCAAUCAUAACUCAACAUCCAUGUACUCUUAGUUGUUCAAGGAAAACUUUCCAGGAAAGAACAUUUCAAAGAAUUAACACUGGCAAAGCCAUAUUUUCCUUGUUCACUAUUCAAUUAGGAUGAAUGGAGUUGUACAUACACAAUACAUCCAUAGUUAUAAACUCCUAUUUCACCUUAUCAUAUCUUCCCAGACCCUUUUUGCGUAUCUAAAUUGUACAGUGUAUAUCUAAGUCUCUUAAAGCCAAACUCAAUAUAUAGUCCCCACAUAGAGCCUUCCUUGCCAAUUCCCAUCUUCACUAAUCUCUCUCUCUAGAGAUUAUUUAACCUUAAAAUAGAAUUAAAGAUUAAGGCAACAGAGCAGUAUGGUUUAUGAACUCAGGUAAUGGAUUUAGAUAGACUUGAGUAUGAACCGUUGUUCUGCUAUUUUCUUUAUGCUAUCAGUCAAAUUACUUAAUCCCCCCUUAGCCUCAAUUUUCUCUUUGUUAGAAUGAGAACAACAGCAAUCCUCAGGAAUGUUAUAUGAAUUGAAUGAGAUAUUUUCCAAUAUGCUCUGCAUGGUGCUUGACUAUAAACUCUCAAUAAAUAUAAGGUAUCUUUGGUAAUAGUGAAAAUAAUAUUACUAUUAGUCA